GUGGGGAAUCUUCCGCAAUGGACGAAAGUCUGACGGAGCAACGCCGCGUGAGUGAAGAAGGUUUUCGGAUCGUAAAGCUCUUUCGUUAGGGACGAACGUGCUCUUUGUGAAUAAUGAGGAGUAAUGACGGUACCUAAAUAAGAAGCCACGGCUAACUACGUGCCAGCAGCCGCGGUAAUACGUAGGUGGCAAGCGUUGUCCGGAAUUAUUGGGCGUAAAGCGCGCGCAGGCGGGAUAUCAAGUCUGUCUUAAAAGUGCGAGGCUCAACCUCGUGAGGGGACAGAAACUGGUAUUCUUGAGUGUCGGAGAAGAAAGUGGAAUUCCAAGUGUAGCGGUGAAAUGCGUAGAGAUUUGGAAGAACACCAGUGGCGAAGGCGACUUUCUGGACGAUGUCUGACGCUGAGGCGCGAAAGCUAGGGGAGCGAACGGGAUUAGAAACCCGGGUAGUCC
rnacentral:rRNA from 1 species